UUGGUGAGGUAAUGGCUCACCAAGGCGACGACGGGUAGCCGGCCUGAGAGGGCGACCGGCCACACUGGGACUGAGACACGGCCCAGACUCCUACGGGAGGCAGCAGUGGGGAAUAUUGCACAAUGGGCGAAAGCCUGAUGCAGCGACGCCGCGUGAGGGAUGACGGCCUUCGGGUUGUAAACCUCUUUCAGCAGGGAAGAAGCGAAAGUGACGGUACCUGCAGAAGAAGCGCCGGCUAACUACGUGCCAGCAGCCGCGGUAAUACGUAGGGCGCAAGCGUUGUCCGGAAUUAUUGGGCGUAAAGAGCUCGUAGGCGGCUUGUCACGUCGGGUGUGAAAGCCCGGGGCUUAACCCCGGGUCUGCAUUCGAUACGGGCAGGCUAGAGUGUGGUAGGGGAGAUCGGAAUUCCUGGUGUAGCGGUGAAAUGCGCAGAUAUCAGGAGGAACACCGGUGGCGAAGGCGGUUCUCUGGGCCAUUACUGACGCUGAGGAGCGAAAGCGUGGGGAGCGAACAGGACUAGAUACCCUGGUAGUCCACGCCGUAAACGGUGGGAACUAGGUGUUGGCGACAUUCCACGUCGUCGGUGCCGCAGCUAACGCAUUAAGUUCCCCGCCUGGGGAGUACGG
rnacentral:rRNA from 1 species